GAAAAAGGCCCAAAAAAAGUGACAAAAAAAGUACCAAAAAAGUGACAAAAAUGGCCAAAAAAGUGACAAAAAUGGUCAAAAAAGUGACAAAAUGGCCCCAAAAAGUGAUAAAAUGGCCNNNNNNNNNNNNNNNNNNNNNNNNNAAUUUGCCCCAAAAAUUGAGGAAUUUGCCCCUAAAAGUGGAGAAUUUGCCCCAAAAUUGAGGAAUUUGCCUCAGAAUUGGGGAAUUUGCCUCAAAAUUGGGGAAUUUGCCCCAAAAAUUGAGGAAGUUGCCCCAAAAAGUGGAAAAUUAGCCCCAAAAUUGAGGAAUUAGACCCAAAAAAUGGAGAAUUUGCCCCAAAAGUGGAAAAUUAGCCCCAAAAUUGAGGAUUUUGCCCCAAAAUUGAGGAAUUUGCCCCAAAAAUGGAGGAAUUUGCCCCAAAAAAUGGAGAAUUUGCCCAAAAAAGUGGAAAAUUUGCCCCAAAAAUGGAGGAAUUUGCCCCUGAAAGUGGAAAAUUAGCCCCAAAAUUGAGGAAUUUGCCCCAAAUAGUGGAGAAUUUGCCCCCAAAAAUGGAGAAUUAGCCCCAAAAAGUGGAGAAUUUACCCCAAAAGAUGGAGAAUUUGCCCCAAAAAUUGAAGAAUUUGCUCCUAAAAGUGGAGAAUUUACCCCCAAAUUGGAGAAUUUGCCCCAAAAUUGGGGAAUUUGCCCCAAAAAUUGAGGAAUUUGCCCCAAAAGUGGAAAAUUAGCCCCAAAAUUGAGGAAUUUGCCCCAAAAAGUGGAGAAUUUACCCCCAAAAAUGGAGAAUUAGCCCCCAAAAGUGGGGAAUUUGCCCCUAAAAUUGAGGAAUUUGCCCCAAAAAUUGAGGUAUUUGCCCCCAAAUACGGAGAAUUUGCCCCAAAAAUGGAGGAAUUUGCCCCAAAAUUGGGGAAUUUGCCCCAAAAAUGGAGGAAUUUGCCCCUAAAAGUGGAAAAUUUGCCCGAAAAUUGAGGAAGUUGCCCCAAAAUUGGGGAAUUUGCCCCAAAAAUGGAGAAUUUGCCCCAAAAUUGAGGAAUUUGCCCCAAAAAGUGGAGGAUUUACCCCAAAAAUGGAAAAUUUGCCCCAAAAUUGAGGAAUUUGCCCCAAAAAUUGAGAAAUUUGCCCCAAAAGUGGAGAAUUUACCCCCAAAAUGGAGGAAUUUGCCCCAAAAAGUGGAGGAUUUACCCCAAAAUUGAGGAAUUUGCCCCCAAAAUUGAGAAUUUGCCCCAAAAUUGGGAAAUUUGCCCCAAAAUUGGGGAAUUAGACCCAAAAAAUGGAGAAUUAGCCCCAAAAAGUGGAGAAUUUGCCUCAAAAUGGAGGAAUUUGCCCCAAAAUUGGGGAAUAUGCACCAAAAAGUGGAGAAUUUACCCCAAAAUUGGAGUAUAAGUAAAGGAGAACCCUGUAGAAACCCUAUAUGUGCCCUAUAAGGGGUUAUAGAUAAUAUAGGGUCAUAUAGGAACCCUAUAUAUGUUGUAUAGGGUAUAUAUAGGUAUAGGAGAACCCUAUAGAAACCCUAUACGUGUCUUAUAUAGGGGAAGUGGAUCUAUAUAGGAACCCUAUAUGUGUCUUAUAAGGGGGGUAUAGAUAAUAUAGGGUCAUAUAGGAACCCUGUAUGUGUUGUAUAGGGUAUAUAUAGGGAAAGGAGAACCCUAUAGAAACCCUAUAUGUGCCCUAUACGGGGGGUAUAGAUAAUAUAGGGUCAUAUAGGAGUCCUAUAUAUGUUGUAUAGGGUAUAGAACCCUAUAGAAACCCUAUAUGUGCCCUAAAAGGGGGGUAUAGAUAAUAUAGGGUCAUAUAGGAACCCUAUAUGUGUUGUAUAGGGUAUAGAACCCUAUAGAAACCCUAUAUGUGCCCUAUAAGGUGGGUAAAGAUAAUAUAGGGUCCUAUAGUGACCCCAUAUAUGUUGUAUAGAGUGUAUAUAGGGGAAGUGGAUCUAUAUAGGAACCCUAUAUGUGUCUUAUAGGGGGGAUAUAGAUAAUAUAGGGUCAUAUAUAUAUAUAUAUGUAAAAUAGGGUCGUAUAGAAACCCUAUAUAUGUUGUAUAGGGUGUAUAUAGGGAAAGUGGGUCUAUAUACGAACCCUAUAUGUGUCCUGUAAGGUGGCUAUAGGUGCAGGAAGUCCUAUAGGACCCAUAUAGAGGCCCCUAUAGGACCCAUAUAGAAGCCCCUAUAGGACCCA
rnacentral:lncRNA from 1 species